ACUCCACUGAGCACCUGGACCGCCGUUACCAGAAUUGCCUGUGUCCUCCUCCUGGAGCUAGUGUGUGCGACUCCAUAGAGCAUUUGGAUUACACUCCUCCGAAUCCCGAAGGAAAAACGCUCAAAAUCUCAUUCUUCAGGGGGAAGCGUUGCCACUCCGGGGUGCCCACUGGGAACGAAUCCCAAACCCACGAGCGCCUGCCUGGUGGGGAAUGUGAACUGUUAUCCUGAGAAUCGUCCUUCUCUCUCCCUGGUUCAGGACAGAAAAUAUUGAAUAGACGGGAAUUCCUGAAGUCUAAACGCCUCCAACGAUAAGAGGAGUGUUAUUGGAAAGGGAAGAAGCGAGAAGACGCAAUCUUCGAGGAGUUAAGUUUUGCUAAUCUAAUGAUGAGAUUGCAUUCAUGAAGACUGAGUGAAGACUUUAUCGCACCAUCACAUCACUAAGGUUUUUCUCCAACAUGAACGUUCUGAUGAAGCUGAAGACUUGAGGCCCGACUAAAGCACAUAUCACACUCCUGACACUUCCAUGUUUUCUCUCCCACGUGGACCCUCUGAUGCACCUCAAGAUUCAAGCGCCUGUUGUAGCCCUUCCCACAGUCCUCACAUUUGUAUGGCUUUUCUACACUGUGAACUUUUUCUAGGACUUUAGAGAAUGAAUUCCGUACAAUGUUCUUCCCAUGCUCCUCACAUUUGAGAGGUGUUUCCCUGCUGUGGCGUCUCUGAUGGGUCAGACGAGUUGAGGACCAUCUGAAGCCCUUCCCACACUCAUCACAUUUGUAUGGCUUUUCUCCAGUGUGCACUCUUUGAUGAGAAUGAAGCUGUGAAUUCUGAGUAAAUCUUUUCCCACACUCUUCACAUUUGAAUGGUUUUUCUCCACUGUGCAGUCUCUGAUGUUUCAAAAGACACGAGGCCCAGCCAAAACUCUUCCCACAUUCUUUACAAUUAUAUGGUCUCUCUCCUGUGUGGACCUUCUGGUGCAUAUCAAGAUUAAACUUACUGUUGUAGCCCUUUCCACACUUCUCACAUUUGUAUGGCUUUUCUCCAGUGUGGACUCUCUGAUGGGAAUGAAGAUGUGAAUUUUGAGUAAACCUCUUCCCACACUCUUCACAUUGGAAUGGUUUUUCUCCACUGUGGAGUCUCUCAUGUUUCAAAAGACAUGGGGCCCGACUAAAGCUCUUCCCACAUUCCUUACAAUUAUACAGUUUCUCUCCUGUAUGGACGCGCUGGUGAAAGUCAAGAUCCAACCUCCUUUUGUAGCCCUUCCCACACUCCACACAUUUGUAUGGUUUUUCUCCACUAUGGGAUCUCUGGUGGGAAUAACAUUGUGAAUUUGUAUAAAAUCCUUUACCACAUUCUUCACAUUUGAAGGGUUUUUCUCCACUGUGGACUCGCUGAUGUUUCAAAAGACACGAGGCCCAUCUGAAAUUCUUCCCGCAAUCUUUACAAUUAUAUGGCUUCUCUCCCGUGUGAACCAUAUGAUGUGUAUAAAGAUCUCGCCUGCAAAUAAAGCCUUUUCCGCACUCCUCACAUUUGUAUGGUUUCUCUCCUGUGUGGAUCAUAAGAUGACUAUUAAGUGCUGAUCUCUGACGAAAGCUCCUACCACACGUAUCACAUUGGAAUGGUUUCUCUCCCGUGUGAACCAUGGAAUGCCUAUUAAGUCUUGAUCUACCACAGAAGCUCUUACCACAUAUAUCACAUUUGAAUGGCUUCUCCCCAGUAUGGAUUCUCUGAUGUUCUUGAAGCUGGGAAUCGUGAAUGAAGGCCUUCCCGCAUUCCUCACAAUUAUAAGGUUUCUCUCCUGUGUGUAAUUUAUGAUGAACAUUAAGCGCUGAUCUACGACUGAAGCCUUUCCCACAUUCCACACAUUUGAAUGGUUUCUCUCCAGUGUGGACUCUCUGAUGAGUUUGCAGACGUGAGCUCUGACUGAAUUCCUUACCACACACGUCACACUUGUAGCGUUUCUCUCCCAGGUGGACUCUCUGAUGAAUACGAAGGGCUGAGAUGUAACAGAAGCUUUUUCCACACUCAUCACAUGUAUGAGACAUCUCUCCUGAGUGUAAUUGUUGAUGGAAAUCAAAGAUGGAGACAUCACUGAAGGACUGUUUAUAUCCAUUGCUCUGGGAAGAUUUCUGUCUUGUGUGAAUUACAGAUAGUCCUGCCUCAGACUGGCUGGGGAAAUCACCUUCUCUGGAGAACUGAGAGCUAUUUAUCACCAAGUCUUGAGACCUGGUUAAAUCACUUGCAAUUUUUUCCCAGAUUUGCUGGCAGGACCACUCUUGAUCUGUUCCUGCUUCUGAAAUAGUCUCCAUCUCAGUUUGGAUCUUGUCUCCUAUCAGAAUACAGAAUUAAAAGACGAGGACAAGUGAAGCCUUUGUUCAGUGUUAUCAAGAUUUCACUUAGGCCAUGGCAUGAAACUCUCAAGAGUACAGGCAACAUUCAGUUUUUAUUUUUCAAGUGCACCAUAAUCUCCAGUUUGGAUGAGGCCAAUUUCGAACUAAACCAAGUAUCAUAUGUAAAAUGCUUGGUAGAAAUAAAAGACUUACAAAAAACAAUAGACGUUGACAUGGGUGUGGUGAAAAGAAACACUUAUAUACUGCUGGUGUGAAUGUAAAUUAGUACAACCUCUAUAAAAAGCAGUAUGGAGAUUCUCUAAAGAACUAAAAGUGAUCUACCAUUUGAUCCAGCAAUCCCACUACUGUCUUCCCAAAGGAAAAAGAAGUCAUUACAUCAAAAGGACACCUGCACGCCUAUAUUUAUUACAGCACAAUUCACAUUUUCAAAGAUAUGGAACCAACCUAAGUGCCUAUCAACCAACGAGUGGAUAAAGAAAAUGUGGUAUAUAUACACCAUGGAAUACUAUUCAGCCAUAGGAAAAUGAAAUAAUGUCUUUUGCAGCAACUUGGAUGGAGCUGGAGGCCAUUAUUCUAAGUAAAGUAACUCAGGAAUGGAAAACCAAAUACCAUGUUUUCACUUAUAAGUGGGAGCUAAGCUAUGGGUAUGCAGAGGCAUACAGAGUGAUAUAAUGGACUAUGGAGACUCAAAAUGGGGAGGCUGGAAGGUAGGGUAAGUGAUAAAAAGCUACAAGUUGGGUACAGUGUACACUACUCAGGUGAUGGGUACACUAAAAUCUCAGACUUCACCAUUAGACAAUUCAUCCAUGUUACCAAAAACCACUAUAUCCCAAAAGCUACUGGAAAAAAAAAAUUUUAAAUAAAAUAAAAGACAAUAAUAAAAUUAAUAUGAUACAAACAUUAUACCUGCUACUCUUCCUAGUGAAUUUCCUAAUCAGUCUAAAAUCUUGCAUGGUAAAUUAUGAAACUAAUAAAUUAUGUAUAUAAUAAAAUAUGAAUCAAAACCAACUUUAAAGAAAAGUAAUAUAAUCAAUACUUGGUACAUUUGUGUUUAUAUUGUGUAUCCUUACAAAGUAAAGAUAUUAACCUCACUCAAAAUGAGGUCUGGAUGUUCUCCUCAGGAUCUAAGAGGUAAUUUCUAGGAGUUUAUGCCUGAGGAGAGUGUCUUUGUUUGCUUGGGGGCAAAACUAGGUCACUGGAAAGUGAAGCAAUAUGAUUUAGGGUUGUGGCUGGCCACGCCUUUGGGGGUUGGUGCCCCCCAUGUCACAAAGAGCAAUGUGAUUUAAGGUGGGGCUUUCGGUUACAUGCAAUCAGUGGCCCAGGAGACUGACUAGCCACAUGGGAAUCAAUCAACAAAUAAUGGCUAUGUAAUGGAGCCUCAAAAAUUACUUGUAAAGCCAGGGCUCAGGUGAGCUUUCCUGAUUCGCUGUACUCUCUACGUCACACCUUAAUUCUAGGAAUGUAACGCAUCCUACUUUAUUGCAAGAAUACAAGAUCCUCAUUUGGUACUUCCCAGAACUGUUCCUUAUUUUUCUCUUGGUGAAAUGUAAUGUGCACCUCUACCCUGUAAAUAUCCAUAACUUUUAGUAUAAAAGCAUUCAGUGAGUUCUGCUUGCCUUUCUAAGUAAUUACUGAAUGUGAAGGUAGUUUUGGAAAAUCCCCACACUUGCAGUUGGUGUGAAAUGAGAAUGAUCUUCUGUAAACUCUUGCUCUAAACUGUGUAGUCAGUUAAACUCUUCACAAUAAUAUCAAAGGCCUACGAGUGUUUAUAUCUACAUAUUCAUAAUAUUCCUAUACAAGAAUUUUGCAUAACAUGUAUCUUUAAUUUUAUUUUUCUGUAGAUGUGAACAAUAAUUUGGUUAUCUGAAAUAGCUCUCUCCAUGAUUCCAGGAGACAGUGAAGUCACCCCAUUCAAUAGCUUAUACAUAAGGUUAACAAAUAUUUGGAAACCUGCCAUGUACCAGGACUAUUCUAGACACUGAAAAUACAGCCAGAAGAGUUAAAAUUUCUUAGACAUUACAGUCCAGCAUGUAGAAGUGACAGAUAAACAGAAGUUAAUGAGACUUGGUACAAGACAGCACAAGAAGAAUCAAAAUAGAACGGAAUUAUAGAGAGUGGUUUGGGAUGGCUUCUCUCAUGACUUUAAAACUGAAAAGAAAUCUGAAUAACUGAAGGAGAUGCCAGACGGCUUUAAGGUGACAGAGUAUUCCAAUGACUGAGAUAAGCAAGUAAGGACUGAGUCAGAAGCUUCUGUAGAGACAGAAUAAUGGUUCCUAAAGGAUGUCCACAUCCAGUCCCCAGGACCUAUGAUCACGUAUACAGCAGGGGAAUAGAGGUUGUAGAUGCAAUUAAGGUUGCUAGUCAGUUAACCAGAGAACAGGAAGAUCAUCCUGGAUUAUCCAGGAGUGAUCAAUAUAAUUACAAGGGAUGCAAAAGGUGAAAGAAGGCAUAAGAAGAGUGGCAGAGGGAGCACGACUAUGGGGAUGCAAGUUGCUGCCUUUGAAGAUGGAAGAAGGAAAGCAAGAGCCAAGGAGUGUGGACAGUGCCUAGACACUGAUAAACCAAAGCAAAGGCUUCUCCCCAAGAGCAUCCAGAAAACAUGAAGCCCUACAGACAACUUGAUAACUGCCCAGUGAGAUGUAUCAGACUUCAUCCCUAAAGAACACAAAAAUAAUAAAUGUUUGUUGCUCAGUCUGCUAAGUCUGUGAUCAUUGGGUACCAGCAAAAGGCAACACAGUGUCCUUGGGAGGACAGAGAAACAGCAGGGAGAAUAAUGUGGCUGGUAAAGACAGAGCAACAGGGAGAGGACAGGAGAUGCAGUUAGAGAGGUGGCAGAGAGGGGAUGAAUGGCAGAAUACAGGUUCUCUAAAAGUCCAUUAAAGAGGUUGUAACUUUAAUAAAAAUAAGCCAAACAGGCUUUUGAGCUGAGGAAUGACAAUCUGACUUACAUUUCCUGAGGAUCACUUCGGCUGCUAUGAGAACAGAUGUCACGAUGGGAAGGCAGGCAGCAGGGCCACCAGGUGUAAGAUGGUUGUCAAUAAUCCAAGAAAGAGGUCUGGCCAUUUAGGCCAGGGCAAUGGAUUUGAGCACAGACAGAAGUAAACAGAUGGAAGAGACGUACAGGGAUUCACAGUUGCUUGAUUCUUACCUGAAUCCCCUUCUCUUUGGGUUGCUGUCUUCAUCAUCCAAAUCUUUUCUUCCCUUAGGAAGUGGAAAGUAUCCCUGUGGAAUGCUUGAUGUCCUGCAAAUAGGCAAAGUUACGUGCUUAAUCCCAACACAUUCUAGGUAACAUCAAGUGACUGAUUUUCCUGAGUUCCACCAGAAACGCAAUGAUGAAAAAGACCUCCUGUAUUUUUACUUCGUGCAAUCAUUGAGUCUCCUUGUAAGUAAUCCUCUAGGACUCUAAAUGUGUCGUCCUGGGCUACACAUAUAUAUACGUUUUGAUAAAUCUUGACAAUCACCUCAGCAACAUUUCGCAAUUCAGUCCUGACUUUGCUUGAUAAUGCCCAUUGUUUUCCUCUCUCAAACUUGAACCCUGGAUGUUAUUGUUUUUCUUCAACAUUUGCCAAACUGACAAGCUUAUGGUGACAUGUGUGAGUAGUUACGCAGUGAGCCCUCUGUACUCUCAAGGCAAAAACUACAUAUAUUAAUUGCAACAUUGAAUGUCAUGAUCUGCAGCCAGCAUGCCUCAGAGCGCAUAUAUAAGGCUCUGUCCCUUCCCAGUCAUGUCACCUUGGACAAGCUGGCCUGAAUGCAUUACUUUCCUCUCUGUAUAAUGAUUGUCACAUGAUGUAGUUUUUAAAUAAUUAAACAGUGGAAUAUACAUAUGGUACUGGGGAAAAGUGUGCAGCACAGACUGAAUACUUAAUAAACAUUAGCUGCUUUGAUUUUU